AGGCCUGAGGCGCGCCUUGCCGCGUGUAUGAAGAAGGCCUUCGGGUUGUAAAGUACUUUCAGCGAGGAGGAAGGCGUUGUGGUUAAUAACCGCAACGAUUGACGUUACUCGCAGAAGAAGCACCGGCUAACUCCGUGCCAGCAGCCGCGGUAAUACGGAGGGUGCAAGCGUUAAUCGGAAUUACUGGGCGUAAAGCGCACGCAGGCGGUCUGUCAAGUCGGAUGUGAAAUCCCCGGGCUCAACCUGGGAACUGCAUCCGAAACUGGCAGGCUAGAGUCUUGUAGAGGGGGGUAGAAUUCCAGGUGUAGCGGUGAAAUGCGUAGAGAUCUGGAGGAAUACCGGUGGCGAAGGCGGCCCCCUGGACAAAGACUGACGCUCAGGUGCGAAAGCGUGGGGAGCAAACA
rnacentral:rRNA from 1 species